UAGUGGCGAACGGGUGAGUAACACGUGAGUAACCUGCCCUUAACUCUGGGAUAAGCCUGGGAAACUGGGUCUAAUACCGGAUAGGAGCGUCCACCGCAUGGUGGGUGUUGGAAAGAUUUAUCGGUUUUGGAUGGACUCGCGGCCUAUCAGCUUGUUGGUGAGGUAAUGGCUCACCAAGGCGACGACGGGUAGCCGGCCUGAGAGGGUGACCGGCCACACUGGGACUGAGACACGGCCCAGACUCCUACGGGAGGCAGCAGUGGGGAAUAUUGCACAAUGGGCGCAAGCCUGAUGCAGCGACGCCGCGUGAGGGAUGACGGCCUUCGGGUUGUAAACCUCUUUCAGUAGGGAAGAAGCGAAAGUGACGGUACCUGCAGAAGAAGCACCGGCUAACUACGUGCCAGCAGCCGCGGUAAUACGUAGGGUGCGAGCGUUAUCCGGAAUUAUUGGGCGUAAAGAGCUCGUAGGCGGUUUGUCGCGUCUGUCGUGAAAGUCCGGGGCUUAACCCCGGAUCUGCGGUGGGUACGGGCAGACUAGAGUGCAGUAGGGGAGACUGGAAUUCCUGGUGUAGCGGUGGAAUGCGCAGAUAUCAGGAGGAACACCGAUGGCGAAGGCAGGUC
rnacentral:rRNA from 1 species